GACAGAGGCCUCGAGCGUUAGGCGGAAUCACUGGGCUUAAAGCGUGUGUAGGCGGAUCGUUAAGUACCUUGUGAAAUCCCACGGCUCAACCGUGGAACGGCUGGGUAUACUGGCGGUCUUGGGCCAUUCAGGGGCGACUGGAACAAGCGGUGGAGCGGUGAAAUGCGUAGAUAUCGGGAGGAACACCAGUGGCGAAGGCGACUACCUGGCCCAUUCUUGACGCUGAGGCGCGAAAGCGUGGGGAGCAAACAGG
rnacentral:rRNA from 1 species